UGACGUCUCCUUGCUGCCUCCUUGCUGCCUCCUUGCUCUCCAGCUCUUUUCUCCCCCCACUCCUGUCCAUUUUUAAGCAAUUGUUUUCUCCAUCCCGUCUCGCUCUCCACCUCCUCCCUCAUCGCCUCCUAUGCACAGAAGCCCAAUUGGAAGCACAUGGUUUUUAUCUACUGUGUAAAUGGGGAUGUUUGUUUAGGGCCCUAGAGCAAGGAGUGUCUGCUUGUCUCUUGUCUCUAGGGAUCCCAGGCUCUGAGCUUCCCCUUGGCUCAGGGUGAUUAACCAGAAGAGCCAGGCUGUUGCUGGGUCAGGUCAAAGGGGACCCACCCUGUUUUCACAGAUGACCCAGCCGGAAGCUGACAGAUGACCCAGGUCAAGCAGAUGACCCAGCCGGAAGCUCACAAGCGGGGCAGCCCUUCCUCCCACAGGAGCCAGGGCAGAAGCGAUAGAACAAUUAAACCAUCGGAAAACAUGAUCAUUUGGAGAUAUAAAGAGUGAGACAAUCUUUGAGAUUCCAAAGAACAGCCAUGGAUUCUGCAGCAGUGAAGACAUCGUCUGGGAAUUCCAUUGAUAUUGUGAGAGAGUCCAUUUGAAGCUUGUUUGCUGAAUUACCUUUGAAAUCUCACCUUCCCUGAAACAAAUCAAAGGUGAUCCUGCAUUGUGUGGCAUCGGAAACCUGUGAUAUCAUCAUCGCACAUGCCAAUGAACAAUUUGUAUUCACCAGUCAUCUUUCAAGUUCAUCACUGAUACAGGGGACUUUGAUUCCAACACACAGCCAAAGAUUUCCACAGCAGGCAUUUAAUGCUGGAGAAAGAUUGGUUGAAGACAGAGCUCUUCAUCCUACACCAGACGACAGAAUUGUACAAAUGCAGGGAUGUUUCCAUGCUCCUAUACCUUCUUUUGGAGAACAAUCUGGAGCCAGCAUUGGAGCAAAUGUUACUCAGAAUCCUCAUGACUAUACCUAUGACAACAGCAGAAGCAGAAGAGGAUGAAGCUCUGAAGAGGAUGAAGCUCUGAAGAGGAUGAAGCUCUGAAGAGGAUGAAGACAUUCCCGAGGAACGCUGUUUCAGAUGACAGCCUUGGUAAUGCUGUCAGUUGAGAGAUGACUGAGCAAACUUUGUAUACAAUAUGACAUUGUGAGAAAUCUUCUGAAGAAUUGGAGGAAAGGGGUGGCUUUAAGGGGAGGUGGAGGCCACACACAGUUUCUCCCAGCAGAGAAGCAGCUGUGGCAGCAGGGACCCCUUCUGAACCAAGGCAAGACUCUUUAAGUAACCUUGAAAAGAAAUGCUAAACAAUUGUACUAUUGCACUACUUAAGUGUCUACUGUUUCUUGAGAAGGGAGAAGGAGGAUAGAGAGAGAACCAGAAGAGGGAGAAGCCACACACACUUUCUCCUCAAAUAUCUCCUCAAAAAAUGUUAAUAAAAAUAACCAGGAUUAAAUUAACAUUA